UAGAUACUCUCUCCGUCCAAAAAUACUUGUCGGAGAAAUGGAUGUAUCUAGACAUAUUUUAAUUCUAGAUACAUCUAAUUUUAUCCAUUUGUGCGACAAGUAUUUCCGAACGGAGGGAGUACAUC
rfam:Triticum aestivum genome assembly, contig: Triticum_aestivum_CS42_TGACv1_scaffold_577878_7BL